GAGUUUGAUCCUGGCUCAGGAUGAACGCUGGCGGCGUGCUUAACACAUGCAAGUCGAACGAAGCACUUUAUUUGAUUUCCUUCGGGACUGAUUAUUUUGUGACUGAGUGGCGGACGGGUGAGUAACGCGUGGGUAACCUGCCUUGUACAGGGGGAUAACAGUUGGAAACGGCUGCUAAUACCGCAUAAGCGCACGGCAUCGCAUGAUGCAGUGUGAAAAACUCCGGUGGUAUAAGAUGGACCCGCGUUGGAUUAGCUAGUUGGUGAGGUAACGGCCCACCAAGGCAACGAUCCAUAGCCGACCUGAGAGGGUGACCGGCCACAUUGGGACUGAGACACGGCCCAAACUCCUACGGGAGGCAGCAGUGGGGAAUAUUGCACAAUGGGCGAAAGCCUGAUGCAGCGACGCCGCGUGAGCGAAGAAGUAUUUCGGUAUGUAAAGCUCUAUCAGCAGGGAAGAUAAUGACGGUACCUGACUAAGAAGCACCGGCUAAAUACGUGCCAGCCGCCGCGGUAAUUC
rnacentral:rRNA from 1 species